AAACCGGCGGGUUAGGACGUCAACAACAGCCAACAAAUUAUUAGAAAUGAAGACCAUUUGUGAAAUGAAGAUUUUCAGGUUCCUGGCCACAUAUGUUCUCAUGUAUUUUCGAACGGACUUUCUCUGACUGUUGACCGCGGAAAACCGUGAACGAGGUUAUCAGAGAGCUGCGAUAAGAGAGGAAAACGGAGAGGAAGAGAAGCAGCCCGACGCGGUGUGAAGGAAUGGAAUAAACCCCAGAGCAGAACCAGAGGAAGGAGGGAUGACUGCCGUGAGAUGAAAGAGGGAUAGAGCAGGACACAGAACAACUCGAGAGACCAUUCAGCUGUGAAGAGACAGAAGAAGCCAGAAGAUCACACAAACACCCAAAGUUGUAUCACGUUGGCUGGAUGUCCCAGCAGCGUUGUAGUUCUUGACACAAACUGGUGCACCUGGCCCCUACUUACCAUACCCCGUUCAAAGGU
ensembl:lncRNA